CCCGUUGGGCCCCGUCCGAGCAGCGCGACCGAGGCUGCUGCCCCCACGACCCCAAGCUGGAUGCGCUCCCUCAGGGGCCUGUGCUGAGAAAUCGGGGCCCGCCGAGGACUAGUACGAGCGGCGCACGUCCGCGGGAGCAGGCCCGGAGCGUAGCGGUGCACAAGCCCCAGCGUCCUUCCCCUCAGCUGGACGUUAAACAGCCAUGUAAACAAACGCGCCACACAACCGGUAGCUCCUCAGAUAUAAACCUUGCAGCAACCCCUCCCCUGCUUUUCAUCUAUUGACAUUGGCUGGUGCGUAGUUGCUGGGCCUGGAACAAUGUGUACAGUGGGGGUGUUGAUAGCUAUUGUAUUGAACAAAACUCUAAACCGGCUAUGUGAUGGAAACUACUUCAAAUCAGGAGGUCCUGCUUCACCCCGAGCACCUCUAAUUCCAGCAUCUAUGGGCUAGUGUAUUUGCAACAGCAGACUUGGUUUACCUUAGCCUAUUUGCAAGCGUUUUGCUCUGAGUCUGAAGUAAAAGGUCCCCACCCCUCCUUCUAAAUGGAAAAACACCAGGUUUAAGAUGGAUUCCAGUUCAGAUGACAUGAUCACAUGUCGCCGUAAGACCUCCUUCUUCAUUACCUAGGAGCCGGCCGACAUGUACACAGGAAGGCUUGCAGGAAUGUACCUGUUGGACAAUCAAAGGAGUUGCUCCAUUCCUAUGGACCCCAAAUCAGAAUUCAACAUAUAUAUUUUAUAUUAAUAACAUUCUAUCAAAGUAUUAAUUAAAUGUUAACUUGCUAACUUGAGAACUGGGCAGAGACAUUAUGUAACCUGUUAACCAUUGGCUAAUGUGCUAUCUUGUCUUGCUGCAAAACCUAUCCCGGGGUAUGGAACUGCCUACCCCGUCACUUUCCUCCGCCCAUAGAAAAUCUAUAUAGUCUAUUGUAAUCAAUUGAUUGAUAGUAUCUCUGAGCCUAAUAAGCAAGGUGACACUCCACCAGCGCUGUGUGUAAUAAACUCCUAUGCUU